CAGCCGCCGCGGUAAAACCAGCACCUCAAGUGGUCAGGAUGAUUAUUGGGCCUAAAGCAUCCGUAGCCGGCUCUGCAAGUUUUCGGUUAAAUCUGUACGCUCGACGUACAGGCUGCCGGGAAUACUGCAGAGCUAGGGAGUGGGAGAGGUAGACGGUACUCGAUAGGAAGGGGUAAAAUCCUUUGAUCUAUUGAUGACCACCUGUGGCGGAGGCGGUCUACCAGAACACGUCCGACGGUGAGGGAUGAAAGCUGGGGGAGCAAACCGGAUUAGAUACCCGGGUAGUCCCAGCUGUAAACUAUGCAAACUCAGUGAUGCAUUGGCUUGUGGCCAAUGCAGCGCUGCAGGGAAGCCGUUAAGUUUGCCGCCUGGGAAGUACGUACGCAAGUAUGAAACUUAAAGGAAUUGGCGGGGGAGCAC
rnacentral:rRNA from 2 species